AUACGGAGGAUGCGAGCGUUAUCCGGAUUUAUUGGGUUUAAAGGGAGCGUAGGUGGGAUAUUAAGUCAGCUGUGAAAGUUUGGGGCUCAACCUUAAAAUUGCAGUUGAUACUGGUUUCCUUGAGUACGGUACAGGUGGGCGGAAUUCGUGGUGUAGCGGUGAAAUGCUUAGAUAUCACGAAGAACUCCGAUCGCGAAGGCAGCUCACCGGGCCGGAACUGACACUGAUGCGCGAAAGUGCGGGUAUCAAACAGGAUUAGAUACCCUGGUAGUCCGCACAGUAAACGAUGAAUACUCGCUGUUUGCGAUACACGGUAAGCGGCCAAGCGAAAGCGUUAAGUAUUCCACCUGGGGAGUACGCCGGCAACGGUGAAACUCAAAGGAAUUGACGGGG
rnacentral:rRNA from 1 species